AUUCUUUAAGAAUUUUUCAUCAAUAUGUUGUAUUUUUAAAUAAUUUCUUUAAAACCUGCUAUUUUUGGAAAGUUUUCAUUAUUUUUAGGUAAAUUUAAUAGAUUUAAGUUUGUGAUUCUUAAAACCUGCUAUUUUUGGAAAGUUUUCAUUUUUUGAAAAAUAAUGUGGAUUUGGGUUUGUGAUUUAGAAAUUAGGAUAACAAGAAUAUUUGUGGAUUGAUGAGUAUUCUUUCAGAUUUUUCAUGAAAAUGUUGUAUUUUAAAACAAUUUUCUUUAAAAUGCUUUUUUGGAAAGUUUUAAUUUAUUAGAGAAAUACUGUAGAUUUGAGUUCAUGAUUUAGAAAUUAGGAUAACAAGAAUAUUUGAGGAUAAAUGAGUAUUCUUUGAGAAUUUUUCAUCAGUAUGUUGUAAUUUCAAAUAAUUUUCUUAAAAGCUGCUAUUUUUGGAAAGUUUUUGUGGAUAAAUGAUUAUUCUUUCAGAAUUUUUCAUCAAUAUGUUGUACUUUUAAAUAAUUUCCUUAAAACCUACUAUUUUUGGAAAGUUUUCAUUUUUUAAAAAUAAUGUGGAUUUGGGUUUGUGAUUUAGAAAUUAGGAUAACAAGAAUAUUUGUGGAUAGAUGAGUAUUCUUUCAGAAUUUUUCAUCAAUAUUUUAUAUUUUUAAAUAAUUUCCUUAAAACCUGCUAUUUUUGGAAAGUUUUCAUUUUUUGAGAAAUAAUGUGGAUUUGGGUUUGUGAUUUAGAAAUUAGGAUAACAAGAAUAUUUGUGGAUAGAUGAGUAUUCUUUCAGAAUUUUUCAUCAAUAUGUUGUAUUUUUAAAUAAUUUUUUUAAGACCUGCUAUUUUUGGAAGGUUUUCAUUUUUUGAGAAAUAAUGUGGAUUUGGGUUUGUGAUUUAGAAAUUAGGAUAACAAGAAUAUUUGUGGAUAGAUGAGUAUUCUUUCAGAAUUUUUCAUCAAUAUGUUGUAUUUUUAAAUAAUUUUCUUAAAACCUGCUUUUUUUGGAAAGUUUUCAUUUUUUGAGAAAUAAUGUGGAUUUGGGUUUGUGAUUUAAAAAAUAGGAUAACAAGAAUAUUUGAGGAUAGAUGAGUAUUCUUUCAGAAUUUUUCAUCAAUAUGUUGUAUUUUUAAAUAAUUUUCUUAAAACCUGCUAUUUUUGGAAAGUUUUCAUUUUUUAGAGAAAUAAUGUGGAUUUGGGUUUGUGAUUUAGAAAUUAGGAUAACAAGAAUAUUUGUGGAUAGAUGAGUAUUCUUUCAUAAUUUUUCAUCAAUAUGUUGUAUUUUUCAAUAGUUUUCUUAAAACCUGCUAUUUUUGGAAAGUUUUUAUUUUUUGAGUAAUAAUGUGGAUUUGGGUUUAUGAUUUAGAAAUUAGAAUAACAAGAAUAUUUGUGGAUAGAUGAGUAUUCUUUCAGAAUUUUUCAUCAAUAUGUGUAUU
rnacentral:lncRNA from 1 species